rnacentral:rRNA from 1 species
GAUGAACGCUGGCGGCGUGCCUAAUACAUGCAAGUCGAGCGAACGGACGAGAAGCUUGCUUCUCUGAUGUUAGCGGCGGACGGGUGAGUAACACGUGGAUAACCUACCUAUAAGACUGGGAUAACUUCGGGAAACCGGAGCUAAUACCGGAUAAUAUUUUGAACCGCAUGGUUCAAAAGUGAAAGACGGUCUUGCUGUCACUUAUAGAUGGAUCCGCGCUGCAUUAGCUAGUUGGUAAGGUAACGGCUUACCAAGGCAACGAUGCAUAGCCGACCUGAGAGGGUGAUCGGCCACCCUGGAACUGAGACACGGUCCAGACUCCUACGGGAGGCAGCAGUAGGGAAUCUUCCGCAAUGGGCGAAAGCCUGACGGAGCAACGCCGCGUGAGUGAUGAAGGUCUUCAGAUCGUAAAACUCUGUUAUUAGGGAAGAACAUAUGUGUAAGUAACUGUGCACAUCUUGACGGUACCUAAUCAGAAAGCCACGGCUAACUACGUG